GUCCACCAUACUUGGUCUUUAAGUGACAUCCAUCAACCCCCACAAAUGGUCUGCAUCCAUGAAUAAAGCCUUUCUUACAGCCAUCAAAACAGAAAUAAAAUGACCCAAACCUUGGUUGUAUGGAUGGACUAGGUCUUUCUAAUUUAUCUUCACAGUGUUGCCAUGGUUUACCCUUCUUAGUUCUUCUGCAUACCUCCAUAUGGAAGCAUACUGAUUGUCAGCAUCACCUUCAAUUAUCUUCUUGGCAAUUAG
rnacentral:lncRNA from 1 species